AGCCAUUCAUUGCCCACAUAUCCGAUUGGCUAUUCCAUCCAGCUCUCUUUUUCCAUUUUCCAAUUUUUGCCCUCCUUCAUCUUCUCCUUCACUUUCUUGCCAUAUUUCAGAUUUUCUCAUUCAUCUUCUCCCACAGAUCUGUAAUUUUUUCUUCUUCUGUUCCCAUAUUUCAAGUAAUUUUUUUCUUUGAUUUUUCCAUUCUUUUUAACAUUUCUAUUAUGUGUUUUUUUGUCGGUUUUUCAGCCAUGGUUCUCGAGGCUACUAUGAUAUGCAUUGAUAACUCAGAAUGGAUACGAAACGACGAUUAUUCUCUGUCUCGAUUUGAAGCACAAGCAAGAGCUCAUAGGCUAGGCCAAAAGAAGGAUGUACUUGUUUUACGUUUUGAAACAGUUCAAACUGUUGAAGAACAAGUCAGAGCUUCUGCUGAACACAAAUUGGCAGUUGCUAAUCAGAGUAUCACUGUCGGUUUCUUCGAUAAUAAUACAAUGCUGAAGAUCGUAGGGAGUAUUUAGGGUCCCUCUUGUGGGAGUGUAAGAAAGAGGAAGUUGCUCCCGUGUGGGAUGAUGAUGCAGUUUACUGGAGAAAUUCAAUGCAUUUACUUUUAUUGAUCUGUUUAUGUUUUUUUUUGUUGAAAAACCAAUGAUGAUGAGUAAUGGAUGUUUGGUUCUGGAACAUCUUGUUUGAAGAAAUUGUAAUGACAGUUGAAGAGGAUGUGAGAGGAGACAUUGAUGUGAUGAUUUUGCAAUUAUAUAUUUGUCAUUGAACCAUAUUUGACUAUGAUCUUAAGUUUUGGUGCUAAAUCGUCGUUGGUACAAUAGUCUAAUAGAUUUCUACUUCAAAUUAGACUGUGUUCCUAGUUUGGAUUGUUUGUCACUUUUAGAAGGAAAUCUGAUUAUAAGCAUAGAACAUAUGUGCAGACCUUGAGAGAAAAUUGCAAAAUUUUACUGCUGUAUACUUCCUUGGCCUCAAAGCAGAUGGUUAAAAUGCUUAAAAACCCUACAGUUUAAUCCUUGAAAUUGUUGAGUUUACGGUUUUCCUUUGAAAUGAUUGGAAAGUAGGCUAUCUAAAUUUUAGUUCUGACAAAAUUCUUUUAUUUCUUCUAUUAAAUACUUCUUUCAGCUCAUGGUGACAAAUUUGCUGCGAAAAGAAUGAGAAGGCUGACCCAAAGGAGAGCUGUUGAUUAUACUAGUACUGUUGUGUGAUAUAUGCAGAUUCGAAUGUCACAGCGGGAUUCACGGGACAGGACAACAUUGUAGAUUCAAAUGUUCUAACUUUUUUAUGUUGUAAAACUGUAUAACAUAUGGAUUAUGACAUAGGAUUUCAUGAAUUUCAUGUAACAUUUUGUUAAUAUAUGAAUAUUAUGUUUAUGUAAAAUAUAAUUCUCAAGUUAUUUAUUACUGCUAA